AUGCAUUGCCAUGUCUCUCUUCCCGCUCCCUCAGCCGCUACACCCGGCGCGGCGAGCCCUCCGGCGAGGCACAGCUGCAGGCGAAGGCAGGUAGCACGAUGCUUGCUUCUCCAGAGGCUAUCGGCACCUCGUUCCCGUUCUUCCCCAGGAUGGCAGACCUCCGGCCGGGGGAUGUGGCUCUCUGGGGAGGCCGGCCGGCCGACGCCUCUCUGCCGGACACUUGCCGAGUCCCCAGCUGGCGGGCAGCUGCGACUCCUGGAGCCCUGCUCCAGGCUGCCGCUCGUGCCACCCCGGACCCUAAGAACUCCCAUGCUGCAGGGCGCAGCAGGGUCGGGGCCGAGCCCCUCCCCAUCCUUCCCACCUGCCCCCACCCCACCGGAGGCGGUGUGUGAGAAGAGCCGCCUGGCCCGGGGCCUGAAGUGGGGGGCGCGAGUCACGCGGGCCGGCUCUGCCCCUCACCCCGCCAGCUGCCUCACCUUAGGAGGAACCUUCGGAGCCUCCGGCCUCUCUCCCGCAGCGACACCGCCAACUGGAGGCUGUGACGCCAGGCGGCAGCCGCCCCGCCCCCGUCACCGAGACCGCCCCGGCCCGGCCCACGGGCCGCGCUCCCCUCCGCUCCCGAGUGCCGGCAAGGCCGGGGCGGGCCAGCAGCGGCUCCAGGUGGUAAUCACCCUGCUAACCCAGGACCCCUUUCCUAUCCGUGCAGGUUUGCCUCAUCUUGCUGAAGGAAAGCUGCAGUAUGCCCAGUUCUCCUUCAAAACGUCUGAAAGAUGAAACAACAGCCACUGUUCUGUUUGUCUGUAAACCAGCAUUAAGUGCAGGCAGCAGAAAAUAGGUGGAUAAUAAUUUACUAUGCUUGCCUGCUUCAAAUGAAAAGCACCUAAAGCCACAUAAAGAACCUAAUAAAUUACUUAUCUUUAACAAGAUUUGGCUUGUUCUCCCCUGUUUGCCCAGAAUGCAUCAGGAGCAGCUUUAAGAGCAUAAUCUUCACACCAUUCUCUAGCUGACCCUUUGAGUGUAUGUCUGCUUUAUUUCACAUCUGUUAUACACAUUUCUUUUCCAGUGGGGUAUAGACUUAAAUCCCUGUUUCCAUAGGAACCAAGUACCUUCUUAAAAUACACAAUUCUUUCUCUUUUCCAUUUAGUGGACUGUUUGGAUUUGAGCUACUUGGGAAAGAAACAAUCUUCUUUUCUUUCCUCCCCCCCCCCCCCCACUGACAAGUGGAAAAAGAAUAAGAGAAAACAGCAUUAAGUCUGAAG
rnacentral:lncRNA from 1 species